UACGUAGGGUGCAAGCGUUACUCGGAAUUACUGGGCGUAAAGCGUGCGCAGGCGGUUAUGUAAGACAGAUGUGAAAUCCCCGGGCUCAACCUGGGAACUGCAUUUGUGACUGCAUCGCUGGAGUGCGGCAGAGGGGGAUGGAAUUCCGCGUGUAGCAGUGAAAUGCGUAGAUAUGUGGAGGAAUACCGAUGGCGAAGGCAGCCCCCUGGGAUAACACUGACGCUCAUGCACGAAAGCGUGGGGAGCAAACAGG
rnacentral:rRNA from 1 species